GACAGAGGGUGCAAACGUUGUUCGGAUUUACUGGGCGUAAAGCGCGUGUAGGCGGCUUUGCAAGUCGGAUGUGAAAGCCCACGGCUCAACCGUGGAAGUGCAUCCGAAACUGCAUAGCUGGAGUCCCGGAGAGGAAGGUGGAAUGCUUGGUGUAGAGGUGAAAUUCGUAGAUAUCAAGCAGAACACCUGCGGCGAAGGCGGCCUUCUGGACGGUGACUGACGCUGAGACGCGAAAGCGUGGGGAGCAAACAGG
rnacentral:rRNA from 1 species